AGAAUCAACGCUGGCGGCGUGCCUAACACAUGCAAGUCGCACGAGAAAGGGUAGCAAUACCUGAGUAAAGUGGCGCACGGGUGAGUAACACGUGACUAAUCUACCCUCGAGUGGGGAAUAACUGAGAGAAAUCUCAGCUAAUACCGCAUAACACUUACGAGUCAAAGCAGAAAUGCGCUUGGGGAGGAGGUCGCGGCCGAUUAGCUAGUUGGCGGGGUAAUGGCCCACCAAGACGAUGAUCGGUA
rnacentral:rRNA from 1 species